rnacentral:lncRNA from 1 species
GACUUCACAGCUGGACAGGCUCUUAGGAGGUGGGGCUAGGUGGAGGGGGUAGGCCACUAGGGUUGUGACUUUGCAGGGUAACACUUUUCUCUGGCUCUCUCACUCUCUACUUCUGGGCUGCCAUGAGGCAAAGCACUUUCCUUUACCAUGAACUUCUGCCAUGAUGUUUCUGCCUCACCACAGGGCUACAUGCAAUGAAGUGACCAACCAUGGACUGAAACCCUGGAUUUAGUCAGAAUGAAGCCACAGAGAAGCUAUGUCCUUCAGUCACACCUUGUAACCAUUUCUGUGUUCCUCAAGAUUUCACAUGUGAUUUCAGAGAGAUGAGGGGAGGCCUUUCCCUGACAGUAGGUUCUAACACAUUAAUAAUUCAUCAGCCUGGAAGACAUCACAGUACUUUUGGUGUUCAUCCUCACCCCAGUGCACAUGAGGGCCUUCUCUAAAGAUAAACCAGAGGGACUACAUUCUCACCUGGGAGCGUACUGACAGCUUCUGUGAAAGAAAGACUCCUGGAGUCCAGAAAGUAUAAAUGCAAACAAAAAUAAAACUUUCAGGUUAAAG